GAGCCGUUAGCUCAGCUGGUAGAGCAUCGCCCUUUUAAGGCGAGGGUCGCAGGUUCGACCCCUGCACGGCUCACCC
rnacentral:tRNA from 1 species